GGUUUAAAGGGUCCGUAGGCGGNCCAAUAAGUCAGUGGUGAAAUCCUAUCGCUUAACGAUAGAACUGCCAUUGAAACUGUUGGUCUUGAAUUAUUUUGAAGUUGGCGGAAUGAGUAGUGUAGCGGUGAAAUGCAUAGAUAUUACUCAGAACACNUAUUGCGAAGGCAGCUGACUAAGAAUAUAUUGACGCUGAUGGACGAAAGCGUAGGUAGCGAACAGGAUUAGAUACCCUGGUAGUCUACGCAGUAAACGAUGGAUACUCGUUGUCGGGAAAAUUGAGACUCGGUGGCUAAGCGAAAGUGAUAAGUAUCCCACCUGGGGAGUACGAUCGCAAGAUUGAAACUCAAAGGAAUUGACGGGGGCCCGCACAAGCGGUGGAGCAUGUGGUUUAAUUCGAUGAUACGCGAGGAACCUUACCUGGGCUUAAAUGUAUUUUGAUCGUACUAGAAAUAGUAUUUCUCGCAAGAGCAAUUUACAAGGUGCUGCAUGGUUGUCGUCAGCUCGUGCCGUGAGGUGUCAGGUUAAGUCCUAUAACGAGCGCAACCCCUAUCGUUAGUUGCUAGCAGGUCAUGCUGAGGACUCUAACGAGACUGCCGGUGCAAACCGUGAGGAAGGUGGGGAUGACGUCAAAUCAUCACGGCCCUUACGUCCAGGGCCACACACGUGCUACAAUGGUGCAUACAGAGAGCAGCCAACUGGUGACAGUGAGCGAAUCUUCAAAGUGCAUCACAGUUCGGAUUGUAGUCUGCAACUCGACUACAUGAAGCUGGAAUCGCUAGUAAUCGCAGAUCAGCCAUGCUGCGGUGAAUACGUUCCCGGGCCUUGUACACACCGCCCGUCAAGCCAUGGAAGCUGGGGGUACCUGAAGUACGUAACCGUAAGGAGCGUCCUAGGGUAAAACUGGUAACUGGGGCU
rnacentral:rRNA from 1 species